GGCACUGUGGCUUAGUUGGUUCAAGUGUUUGUCUCGUAAACAGGAGGUCCUGGGUUCAAGUCCUAGCAGUACCU